rnacentral:rRNA from 1 species
AAGAAUUUAAAAGUCGAACAGACUUUAUGUUUAAGCGGCUACACCUAAAUAUGUAUCUUAAUCCAACAUCGAGGUCGCAAACUUUUUUGUCGAUAUGAACUCUCAAAAAAAAUUACG